rnacentral:rRNA from 1 species
AUGGCCCGAUAUAGAGGCGCCGCACACCCUCAUUGCUUCACUGAUGAGGUCAUGGAUCAUGAAUUCCCAGAAGGGUUCAAACCCGUGAAUAUAGAAUCAUAUGAUGGAACCACGGACCCCACGGUGUGGAUCGAAGACUUCAUUCUCCACAUUCAUAUGGCCCGCGGCGAUGACCUCCACACCAUCAAAUACCUCCCUUUAAAACUCAAGGAGCCAGCUCGGCAUUGGCUCAACAGUCUGCCUGAAAAUUCUAUUGGCAGCUGGGAGGACAUGGAAGAGGCCUUCCUCGAUAACUUCCAAGGUACAUAUGUUCGACCUCCGGACACUGAUGACUUAAGCCAUAUAGUUCAACAACCCGGAGAGUCUGCCAGGAAAUUCCAGACUAGGUUCUUAACUAAAAAGAACCAAAUCGUCGAUUGUCCGGAUGCCGAAGCCCUAGCAUCCUUCAAGCACAGCAUCCACAACGAAUGGCUCGCUCGCCACCUCGGCCAAGAAAAGCCAAAAUCCAUGGCGGCCCUCACGGCACUUGAGGGAUUCCUGGAUUAG